rnacentral:lncRNA from 1 species
GACGGAGUUUCUUCAUGUUGGUCAGGCUGGUCUCGAACUCCCGAUCUCAGGUGAUCUGCCUGCCUCGGCCUCCCAAAGUGCUGGGAUUACAGGCGUGAGCCAUCGCGUCCGGCCGAGUUGCCCACAUAUUUCAUGCGCAAAAUCACAACAAUCCUUUAACAACAGAUUUAUAUGUUACACGGAUGCAUUUCAAUAUUUGAUACCACGUGGGCUGGGGGUCCCGGGCUGCCAGCAGGAGCCAAGAGUCUCCCAGGUCUCCCUCUGUUGCUCGUGGACUGGGGCAUUACCAGGGAACACGGCAGAAUACAGAAAUCAAAAACUCCGAUCUAGAACCAUCUCCUGGCUUUGUGACCGUGAGAUCAACUCCCUUCUCUAAACACUAAUCCCUUCCUCUGAAAAAUUAGAAUUAAAGCCAGGUUCUCCCAGGCAGGUCAGUGAAGAAGGAGGAGCAGGUGCUCACUCGGCUCACGAACUGCUUGGUUGGCCUCUGGCGCCCCCUCGCGGCAGGACGAGAUGGCACACUUUCGGGGCAGGGCCUAGCAUUCAAAUGAGAUGCAAAUCACUCCUCUCGUGCCCAGUCUCCGGAAAAGGUUUCCUAGGAGUCCACGCGUGUCCAUGGAAACUAGCAAGCGUGACUGCGGUGCACGGGAAUCUGGCUGACAGGAAGAAGGAGGCUGGGGGCCUGGGAGGCCAGAGGGUCCUGAAUACUGGAUGACCACCUGAUUUCAUGCUCACCUCGACUUCCAACCUCCAGGUUGGAAAAUUGACCCAGCUCAGGACCCUGGUGCUGCCUGAUGCUUCAUGUUCCAGCAGCCCUCUCUGGACUGCUGUGGCGCAUCUGUG